rnacentral:rRNA from 1 species
AGCGUCUGGAAAGGCGCGCGAUACAGGGUGACAGCCCCGUACACAAAAGCGCAUGUGCUGUGAGCUCGAUGAGUAGGGCGGGACACGUGGUAUCCUGUCUGAAUAUGGGGGGACCAUCCUCCAAGGCUAAAUACUCCUGACUGACCGAUAGUGAACCAGUACCGUGAGGGAAAGGCGAAAAGAACCCCGGCGAGGGGAGUGAAAAAGAACCUGAAACCGUGUACGUACAAGCAGUGGGAGCCCCACCACUAAGCCAGUGGUGAACUCCACAUACGCAUCCUUUGCUGAGGAUACGGUUAACGGAGCGAAAGCGACGUUCAACCGCAAAAGAAGCAGAGGGGGCUUAGUGGUGGGGUGACUGCGUACCUUUUGUAUAAUGGGUCAGCGACUUAUAUUCUGUAGCAAGGUUAACCGAAUAGGGGAGCCGGAGGGAAACCGAGUCUUAAUUGGGCGUUAAGUUGCAGGGUAUAGACCCGAAACCCGGUGAUCUAGCCAUGGGCAGGUUGAAGGUUGGGUAACACUAACUGGAGGACCGAACCGACUAAUGUUGAAAAAUUAGCGGAUGACCUGUGGCUGGGGGUGAAAGGCCAAUCAAAC